CAAACGUGGUCGUUCCUCGUCUUUAUGACACUUUGACUGCACCGCUCGAGCACAACCAGAGCCACCUAACUCUACACCAUCGGGCUCUUCUUCACUUCAGUCGUCAAAUUUUCUCCCCUUUUCAAUCUCUUCUUUUCCCUUUUGAUCAAAAUCUUUUCGUUUCACUCCCACCUUUCUCUCCUGAUUCAGAGCAAUCAAUCCCUUUUAGCAUCAUGGGUGUCAAAAGCAACGGAAUCGCAUGCACGGUCUUAUUUCUUCUGGGCCAGUCUCCUAUUUUCCCUCUCUGUUUCUCCGCGGCCAAUCAACCCCAUAACUCUAGAAAGCUGACGCACCCAACUUCUGAUAAUCGCCUUGGCUCCUCAGCUGUUUUCCAGGUUCAGGGGAAUGUAUAUCCUCUUGGGCACUACACUGUCUCCCUUAACAUUGGCUAUCCUUCCAAGAUCUUCGACCUUGAUAUUGACUCCGGCAGUGACCUGACUUGGGUACAGUGUGAUGCGCCAUGUCAAGGUUGCACUAAGCCCCGUGAUCAACUCUACAAACCCAACAACAACGUUGUGCAAUGUUCGGACCAGUUGUGCUCUCGAAUUCACUUGCCCACAAGCUCUCAAUGUUCUGCUCCAGAUGAGCAAUGUGACUACGAGGUCGAGUAUGCGGACAAUGGAGUAUCUACUGGUGUGCUUGUCCGAGACUUCAUCCCUCUCCAAUUAACCAAUGGCUCUGUCAUACUUCCCCGAGUCGUCUUUGGUUGUGGGUAUGAUCAGAAAUUCUCUGGCCCAACCUCUCCACCUUCUACGGCGGGAGUUCUUGGCCUUGGAAGUGGCAAAGCAAGCAUCUUGUCACAGCUUCAUUCUCUGGGUCUCACCCGCAAUGUAGUGGGACACUGCUUAAGUGGGCAAGGAGGAGGCUAUUUAUUCUUUGGAGAUGAUCUCGUCCCUUCAUCUGGAGUUAUUUGGACCCCUAUGCUUUCUAGUUCCUCGGACUCGGAAAUGCGCUACAGCUCUGGACCAGCUGAACUGUUUUUCAAUGGAAAGCCUUCUAAUGCCAAGGGUCUUGAAGUUAUAUUUGACAGUGGGAGCUCCUACACAUACUUCAAUUCCAAAGCUUAUCAGGCCAUUGUUGAUCUGGUGACUAACGACUUGAAGGGAACACAACUGACAAGAGCAACUGAAGACCCGUCCCUUCCAAUUUGCUGGAAGGGUGCAAAACCUUUCAAAUCAUUACGUGAUGUCAAGAGCUAUUUUAAGCCUUUUGCAUUGAGCUUCGCGAAAAGGAAAAACGUGCUGCUGCAAUUACCUCCAGAAGCUUAUUUAAUUGUUACGAAACAUGGCAAUGUCUGCAUUGGAAUCCUAAACGGCGAUGAAGUAGGACUGGAAGAUCUCAACAUAAUUGGAGUUAUUCUCGUUGCUCCUGGCAGACAUCUCUUUACAAGAUAAAAUAGUGAUCUAUGACAACGAGAAACAGCAGAUCGGAUGGGUUUCUUCCAAUUGUGAUAGGCUUCCCAAUGUGGAUCGUGACUUUGAUGACGUUUUUUCACUGCCUUACGCAGCCAAUUUCGAUGUUUUAGCUGAUAGUUGACCUGCAAACUACCAAUAUCACAGAUAACUGAUGCGUUCAACAUUGGACUGCAUAUGUUAACUCCAUGUCCACGGUACAGCGUAUUACAGACAUAGGUUCAGUUUUGGUCAACCUUCCUAGAAUGCUUGUGCUUCAUACGCAACUAUACAUGAUUUGUAAGCUGGAGCACCCAACACACGAAUAAUAGUAAUGCCUGGUGGAGAACACUUGGUGUAGAGUCCCAAAAUGCCAUCAGCAGAGUUAUUCGAGGAUUAAGCUAGAGGAUCCGCCUUCGUUGUAGCUUUCCAUAUACCAGCCAGAAGGUGAUUGAUUGAUACUUAUCAGUAGGAGUUACAAAGUAUACUGUACCUGCAUGUAGCACAUGAUAAUUGAGUUUAAGCAUCGUAAAACUAGGUACAUAAUCUUUGAAGUACUUGUGUGUAUGGUAUACAUAUACUCACAGUAGCCACAACAUUCUACAAGUCCUGAUUUGCAUA